GUGGCAGUGGCUCAGUGGUAGAGCUCCGGCUUUGUACGCGGGAAGAGCUGGGUUCGAUUCCCGGCUGCUUUC
rfam:Toxocara canis scaffold201, whole genome shotgun sequence.